GAGCACGUAGGUGGGUUUGUAAGUCAGAUGUGAAAGCCUUCUGUUCAACGGAAGAAUUGCAUCUGAAACUGCGAGUCUUGAGUGUAGGAGGGGAGAAUGGCACUUCUGGUGGAGCGGUGAAAUGCGUAGAUAUCAGAAGGAACUCCGGCGGCGAAAGCGAUUCUCUGGCCUAUUACUGACACUCAGUGUGCGAAAGCUAGGGGAGCAAACGGGAUUAGAUACCCCGGUAGUCCUAGCCGUAAACGAUGGGCACUAAGUAGAGGGGUUUU
rnacentral:rRNA from 1 species